CAGUCAGAUCCGCCAGAGGGCAGCAGAGGUGCUGCAAACUUACUUAUUUAUCAUAUUCUCCAAUGGGAAGCUACAGAGUCCAGGCAAACUGUACAACAGCUACGACUCGAUAAAUCUCCAAGAGGAGUCAGCCGACCCUGGCGGCUGAAACGGAGACUUUCUCCUGCGUUGAAAAUCAUUUUGAGACGGUUGUCCUCGGUUGCAACACGACACUUUGUGGGAAUUUUGAACAAGACCUGUGACCAAAAUGAAAGGGCAAGAUGCUUGAGUUGCUCAACAUGCAGACGCUGUUUGCUGAAAAAGCAGUUGAGAGUGAAUCGACUCUAGAGAAUCACAUCAAAACGUUCAGAGUAAACAUGGGGGUUUUUGCUUUGGUGCCUUUGGAACCAACAAGCAUCAGGAAGCUGUUGCUGUCCAGGAGAAUAAACAAAGUUGGCAAUGAGGGUUUGAGUCUCUCAGCUGCUCAAGACACAGAGAGACCAGCCCUAAUACACAGGGUGUGACCUCUCAGGUAGGUGAUGGCAUCCAGGAUGACUUGCAAGUUGAUCGCCUUCCACCUUCCUUCGAAUUGUGCUGAUGCUGCCCAACCUGGAAUAGUUGAAAAUAUUCUGCCCCGCUCCCCACAGAGGAUGAAGCUCGAGAAAGUCCAAGUGGAACUUCCAGAAAGGUAUCAUCAGAAGAAAUACUGAGGAUGAUCAAACAGGACAGCCAGUGGGGCUUUUUGUCGUCAAAAUGCUAACAUCCCACAGGGAAUGAGGAGAGGAGAGCAGAGCCCACCAGGCCGAACGCAUCUGAUUUCUAAGACCCUCAUCAAGUUCACAGCCCAGAAAGGCAUAAAGGGGAAAGUGUGCUGGGACCUGAAACUCUCACUCCACCCCUCAACCCCACCCCUGCACAUCAUGAAAACCAGCCUGGUGGAGCACUUUACCUGCCUAGCUUAUAGCAACGGCCACACACAGAGCAUAAUCUCUGAUUCUGUGAAGGCAACAAUAACUGCGUGUGUGGUUACCCUUGCCUUGCGCAUAAAUGACUUCCAGAUUUCCCUGAUAGUGUUACAGGCAAAAUGGCACACUAUGUCCUAAAUUUGGAUCAUCUGCAGAUACUUGUUCAUUCAAAAUGACCCUAGAGGGUUUUCGGAGGGGAAACGAGGAAAGGGGUUAUAACAUUUGAAAUGUAAAUAAAGAAAAUAUCCAAUAAAUUUAAAAAAAAAAUGACCCUAGGAAACCAUAAAUGAUAAAAUGCCAAACUUUAUCUCACAGGUAGUACAUAAAAAUAAAAGCGUGUUAAAGAGAGAAAACACAAAGAAAAAAAUGCCAGCAACCUUAUGGGGCAGAAAUUGUAGCUGGAUUAGGGGAAAUUUUAUUAUAUUGAAAAAUACGUUGAGAAGAGCAAAAUGUAAUCUCAUUAUGGGACACUUCUGGUGUUACAAUAAAAUUUCAAUAAUUCUAUA